ACUGUCUGCUUCUCUCAGCUGCACUUAGAUCCUGAGGGCAGAACCUACAAGCACCCAUGGGGAGAGAAAAAAAUGGAAGGGAAGAAACACUUAAAUAAUAAAGGAAAUUUUCCCAGAGUUGAAUAAAUACGUGAGGACUUUUAAUUGAAAAGGUCUACCAACCGUGAAAGAAAGAACUUCCAGUAAAGUAAGAAACAAGGCUGCUUCCUGCUCACUGACGGCUACAAAUGUCAAAAGAAGUCAAGGAGACAUCACAGAUGAGAGGAAAGGAGACUUUUAGCCAGAUUUGGGCUAUGUCCUGGUUCUGCUGUUACUAGCUGGAAGACCCCUCACUUCUUUUCAGCCUCAUUUUCCUGAUGUAAAACAGGGAUAACGAUUCCUUCUCCAGAGCUGUGAGGCUGAAAGGUAAUAAUGAAUCCAAUGAUUGGUAAAGAAACUGGCACAGUAAGAGUUCAACAAAUGCUGGCCAUGAUACACAAAGUGAUUAGGAAAGGAGGUGAGACCUCAGACUAUUGCACAAUG